GAUUGAAUUACCUCGUUAUGGCAUUGGGAACUCCCUCAGAUUGGCUCCUGUGGCAUUUUUACUUGUUUACUUAUUUAUCUUAGUUUUUGUUUUGUUUUAUUUUGAGGUAGUGGUAGUUGGUUUGCCUAUUUCUUUGGUAGAGUUUUGUUUUGUUUUGAUAUGAAGUCUCUCUCUACACUGCACUGGCUAUUUUAGAACUAACUGUGUAGAUGGGCUGGCCUUUGGAAAACAGUGUCGAGAGACCAAGAUCUGGGGCCACGUGCACUGGUUAUAGUCAUUGCUGACUGGAUUAUGGUUAUAAGAUUUUCCAAUAGGCACUCAGGAGGCAAAGGCAGGCGGAUUUCUGAGUUCGAGGACAGCCAGGGCUACACAGAGAAACCCUGUCUCGAAGCCCCACCCCCACCCACCCACCCCCGGAAAAAAAAAAAAAGGAUUUCCCAAUAGAUGUAGCCAGGAAACCCAACUGCUGUUGUUCAUACAUCUUUACUACAUCUAUUUUUAUUUUAUUGUUUGCUCAUUUGUAUGUUUUAAAAAUUAUGAGUUGGAACAACCAAGCAAUACUAGAAAAGGCUUUGGAAAAAUGAAGAGUUUGAGACUAGGACCUAGAGAGAGAUAGCUCAGUUGUUAAGAGCACGUGUUGGGCUUGCAGAAGACUUUCAUUCAGUUCUCAGCACCCACAUCAUGAGUCACACAUAAACACAUGCAGGCAAAAUACUCAUACACAUAAAAUAGUCUAAAGAUGAAAAACAGUAAGAUUAACAGAUGAUCAUAAUAGUUUUCACUUUGUUGUUGAUAGUUACCUGUCUGUUUUUGUUUGAUACUUGGUAUUGCUUUCCAAAGCUGACCUCCAGCUCAAAGGAGUCCUCCUAACUCUACCUUCUGAGUGCUGUAGCUAGAAAGAUGUGUGCCACCACAUUUAGCUGUAAUUAUGUAUUCAAUGGAAUACCUAUGAAAAGAGAGUUUUAUGAUUACCAGAUCAUAUGAGAAACAAAUUUACUAACCUAGAAUACAAUGUUCAUGUACAGAAUAGAAUGUUAAUGCUAUUGUAUAGUCUAAACUGCUUUCUGAAAUUUUAGGGUCCCCCCCCCCUUGUGGGUUUGUUGGUUUGCCUAUUUCUUUGGUGGGGUUUUGUUUUGUUUUGAUACAAAGUCUCUUUACACUGCAUUGGCUGUUUUAGAACUCACUGUGUAGAUAGGCUGGCCUAGAACUCUCAAAGAUCUGCCUGCCUCUGUCUCAUAGUACUGGGAUUAAAGGCAUGUGCCACCAUACAUUGCCUUCCUUAUGUCCUUUUUGGUAGUUGAUGUUUUUUUGUGAUAGAGUUGUGUUUGUUUUUAAAUAUUGUAUUCCACUUACCAAAUCACCCACAAAAUGGUUGAGGGGUCUUUUGGGGAAUCUAGGGGUUAGGAGACAAUAAUAAGCUCUAAAAGAUAGACUCAAUUUUUCUCUUUCUUUUUAGCUGCUUUCCCAUCUAUCUUUACUUUUGGGUUAUCUUUUUCUUUUCUUUUCUUUUUUUGUACACAAAUAGGUAUUUGUACACUUUUGUUGUUGGUAUGUGUAUGUUUGUUGUUAUUUUGAGAUGAGAUCUCAUAUAGCCUAGAAACUCAGUUGUAGAUUCAUAAGCAUCCUCUACUACCACACAUUUUGUCUCUAAAAACAAAAUAAAUUCCUCCUUGUAUAAAUAUUGUUUAAAUGACUAUUUAGUCCUAAAUUCAAAUUGAGGAUUUUGUUUAGUAAAAACAUUUCUUUUUUGAGUAUUGGUAAAUAAUGUCAUUAAAGUAUUAUAUAUUAGCCGGGCGUGGUGGCACACGCCUUUAAUCCCAGCACUCGGGAGGCAGGCAGAUUUCUGAGUUGGAGGCCAGCCUGGUCUACAGAGUGAGUUCCAGUACAGCCAGGGCUAUAAAGAGAAACCCUGUCUCG
rnacentral:lncRNA from 1 species